GCCAGCCAGGUGGCCCUGUACACUUUCGGCCAUCGGGCCAACGAGUGGGAGAAGACUGAUGUAGAAGGAACCCUGUUUGUUUAUACAAGCUUAAUCCAGAGACCUUCAUAUUUUCAUUGCUUCCAACGUGGUAUAAUCAAACAAGAGGAUGUUCAUAGUCCUUCUAGUUUGAACUCUGUUGUUGUAAAGGAGAUGUGUUGGAAGAGCUAGGCAAAAAUGCCAAUUCUUCACCACCUUGAUUCCAUUUCAGCUACCUAAUAAACACUUUUUAAUUGAUUGCUGGCAUAUAUA